CUCGGUGAAAAGCAGGCUGGGCUCACGGCAGAAACGAAACGGGAAACCUCAUUAAAACGCUGAAAGUUGCUCUAAACGCUUGUUUCUUGGGAAAGUAUCGUCUUUUUACCACAUAUUUUUUUUUACAAGAAAGCUUCAUGAAGCAAGAAAAGCAAGCCUUGUGUGCGGAGUUUUCUUCAUCGGUUCCAUGGCUGUCUAGCGGCAGUGAGGACAGCACAGCUAGACCGGUGUUGUGUUUACGGACGGCGUUGCCCGGCGACGCAUUCCAAACAGUCGGAGGUUAUGCCGACAUGGCAGCAGCUCCCUGCACGCAGCGGAACAACAUGACAGCAUUCACCCGCCCACCUGCCAG